CCAAAGUCAACACAAUUGGAUGUUGAACUUUUUUGGACGGUCCAGAUGCUCUCUCACCACUGUGUCUCUGCUUCUUCCAGUGCGGUGGAGUGAGGAGCUCGGAGUCAGAGGAGCAGAAGUGCAGGAGGUCAGGAAGAUGGACUGUGGACCAGGUUUUGGAGCACACGUUUGGAGCAAGGACCUGAUGUGGUGUGUGAUAGGCUGGAAGAGACCGGACGAAGACGUAUGAAGCAGCUGCUGAUGAAAACCAAACACCCGGCUGAAAGGCUGCGGCCGUGUCAUCUGUAACAGUCGGUGUAUGGGCGGUGGAUGUUGACGGCAGCUCCAGAGCGCCUUUCUUCCACCGUGGUCCUCAGCAGCAGAGACAGCAACGUGACAGACGUGUCUUUUUCUCCUCCUGCCAACGUUCAAACGGCCAUAAUGUGCGCGGCAUCAAUCACAGUCUAUUCUUCAUUCACAAAGCUGGGGGAGAGGAUCAAAAGCAGCCAGCCACCAGUGAAUCAAAUCAUGAAAGCCAAGAGCGGCCUUCUGACAUCCCACCCAGCGGUAAGUCCCUGACUCACACACAGCACAGCAUCCAGAAGAGACAAUCUUUGAACUUGGUGUCCUGAAACUCUGCUGCUGAGAGCAGGGGUGUGACCACUUAACUUAGAACAGACAGCUGUGAAGAAGUUCAACCUCUGCUUCAACGCUUUUUUUCCCCCUUCUUUCUUUUUUUCCUACCAAUUUGAUAAUAACACUGGUCUGAACCAGGGCUGAUUCUAACGACAAAGAGAAGGUUGGCUGACUUGGUCCUCUGUAAAUUCAGCUCUGAUCCUUCCGUCCCAUUAGCAUCUGUAAGUCAGUGCCGUUACCUCAAAAGGGUUUCCUUUCAUCUGACUCUCUCCAGAAAAAAUAUCCAAUGUUUAACAUUCAUAUUUUCA